UCAUUCUCAUUAAUAAAUAAAUAAAAUAAAAUAAAAAUGAUUAGGAUGGCCCUUGCACAAGGAUGACACAUUCAUGAAGUGUUCCAUAUAAUAUUUUU
rnacentral:snRNA from 1 species